UCUUGCGCAAUGGGCGAAAGCCUGACGCAGCAACGCCGCGUGCGGGAUGAAGGCCUUCGGGCUGUAAACCGCUUUCAGCAGGAACGAAAAUGACGGUACCUGCAGAAGAAGGAGCGGCCAACUACGUGCCAGCAGCCGCGGUGACACGUAGGCUCCAAGCGUUGUCCGGAUUUAUUGGGCGUAAAGAGCUCGUAGGCGGUUUAGUAAGUCGGGUGUUAAAACUCUGGGCUCAACCCGGAGAGGCCAUCCGAUACUGCUGUGACUUGAGUUCAGGAGGGGAGCGGGGAAUUCCUAGUGUAGCGGUGAAAUGCGCAGAUAUUAGGAGGAACACCGGUGGCGAAGGCGCCCCUCUGGACAGAAACUGACGCUGAGAGCGA
rnacentral:rRNA from 1 species